GAUGAACGCUGGCGGCGUGCCUAAUACAUGCAAGUCGAACGAAACUUCUUUAUCACCGAGUGCUUGCACUCACCGAUAAAGAGUUGAGUGGCGAACGGGUGAGUAACACGUGGGCAACCUGCCCAAAAGAGGGGGAUAACACUUGGAAACAGGUGCUAAUACCGCAUAACCAUAGUUGCCGCAUGGUAACUAUGUAAAAGGUGGCUAUACUACCGCUUUUGGAUGGGCCCGCGGCGCAUUAGCUAGUUGGUAGGGUAAAGGCUUACCAAGGCAAUGAUGCGUAGCCGAAUUGAGAGGUUGAUCGGCCACAUUGGGACUGAGACACGGCCCAAACUCCUACGGGAGGCAGCAGUAGGGAAUCUUCCACAAUGGGCGAAAGCCUGAUGGAGCAACGCCGCGUGGGUGAAGAAGGUCUUCGGAUCGUAAAACCCUGUUGUUAGAGAAGAAAGUGCGUGAGAGUAACUGUUCACGUUUCGACGGUAUCUAACCAGAAAGCCACGGCUAACUACGUG
rnacentral:rRNA from 1 species